GAUCGUAGUCCGGAUUGGAGUCUGCAACUCGACUCCAUGAAGUCGGAAUCGCUAGUAAUCGCGGAUCAGAAUGCCGCGGUGAAUACGUUCCCGGGCCUUGUACACACCGCCCGUCACACCAUGGGAGUUUGUUGCACCAGAAGUAGGUAGUCUAACCGCAAGGAGGACGCUUACCACGGUGUGGCCGAUGACUGGGGUGAAGUCGUAACAAGGUAGCCGUAGGGGAACCUGCGGCUGGAUCACCUCCUUAA
rnacentral:rRNA from 1 species